rnacentral:lncRNA from 1 species
CAGAGGGUUCACCUCAGAGGGCUGCCCAGCCAGCCUGGAGCAAGGACAGUACAGGUAGUUUACACCUCCUUUCCUGCAGAAAGCUGGAGUGAAGGAUCAACAGAGCACUUGGGGAGCUGCAGCAUCCCACCAGCUGUGGCUCCUGCAGUGCCCAUUCUGCUUUCAGGCCAGAAGGGUAUGGGGAUGGUGAUUCGACACAAAUUUUCUGCACAAAACAGGCGUCUCAAGGUGUGUGGAGGCAACAGAAAGCUCUACCAGUCCCUGGGCUCUUUGGAUGAGUAUACUGACUUGCAGCAACUCAGAAGCCUGAAGUGACAGCCACCCAGUCCAGGGCUCUCUCUGGGAUGGACCUGACCAGCAGGACUAGUGAGCCUUGGCUCCUUCCUGUGGUCCUAGCUCAGCCAGGUGGGCUUUUCUGCUACAAGGGCACACGUGUGUUGGGAUAGGGCCUGAAAACCCACUGGUGACAGUAACAACGGGUUAUUGUUAUAUAACACACAGGCAAUGUGGUUUUGGUUAAAGCGGUUUCCUGCGGGACUAAAGGAAACUAAGCGGGAAGCAAACAACGGCUCGGGUCAGGCACCUCCUGCAACGUCACAGCCGCUGUUGCAGGGCAGUGGCAGAGGCUCCAUCACUGAGGAACUGAGCUCAAAGCUUAAUGCAUCCAAUAACAGUGCCAGGCCUCUGUUUAAAUGUCACAAGAGAGGAGAAAAAACCUGACCCAGCCCAAGCAACCCAUGAGUGAGAGCAUGAAGCCACAGCCAGCCCCAGAUGAGGUACCAGGACAUGCAGUGCAAUGGUCAUGUUGCCACAGUAUCACUGCAUGGUCCUCAGGUCCCCUGGGAAUAACCUUCACACAAAACCCUCAAGCUAGGAAGGGAGAGGAGGGAGCCAAGCAUUUCCAUAUCCACCCUAGGAGCGCCGGUCCCUGGGGAAGGCUGGAAUCUGGUGCCGACUGGCGCUGGGAACACCCACGUUCAGCUAACCUGACUGCAGUGUUCACUACAGGGUAACUGGCUCUGAGGAGGCGUUAUAGCAAGAAAAAAAUAAAUUAAUCAAACAAGAUGGGACA